CUGCCGUUGCCGUGCAUUGUCUCCGUUCGCGCUUGCAGUGUCGCGCAUGGCCGCGCGCCCGCACUUUGCAAAGAAUUCAACGGGUCGCUUUCGUGCGCACAUCGCAUUCUCUGUGUGUUCCUGCGUUGAUGGCUCAGCUUCGUUUUGGUGCUUUCAGACAUUCACGUACUAAUCACAGACAUGGGAAGACUAUAAGACGUCAAGAUGAAAGGCUCCUAGCAGCUCUCAGUGUUCCCAACGAAACUGGCAGAAUGGCAGUGGCUGAUUACAAGCUGCCUUUGGUGAACAAAAAAACCGUGACCACAUUAGAAUCCGAGCAGAGCUCCAAUCCUGCAUUCUGACGACACCUUACACAACGGCUCUCUGUUAUGGGGGGCUGGUACUUAAGAAGCUUUACUGCGGGCAUCCUACCCACUAUUUUCAGACUGUUUUGGUGGAAACUUAAGCUAGACUCUAGGCCAGCGGCGGAAAAAGAGCUUCAGGGACAUGCAUGUCUACAGUGUCAUGGAAGAUGCAUCAAAGGAUACUGGACCUGCCGCCAGCUGACAUGCCUUUCUUCCUCCUUAGUUCUGUUAAGAUGUGGGUUCAGUUUUUCUAGACAUGCAAUCCAUAAUACAUGCAGUCUAGUCAAUCAGUGCACGGCAUUACAUGCCAUUCAUUUCCUAUGUAUAUAUUUAGUCAGAAUCAAAGCAGGACAAGCACAUGUACAUAAUUUGCAAAAAUAAAAUUUAGUUUUUUGCUAAUUUUGCUGCCUCUUAAACAUUGUUAUGAAAUGCUGGCUACAGAAGAGGCAUUUUACAAGAUGUCUUUUCAAUGUGCCUCAUUUCAAUGUGCCCUUGUCUGCUGCAUGAAUUUUGCUUGUGUUAGCAGUAUACCCAAAUUAAUCGUGCACUAAUGCAGAUCACUGGUACUGCUAUUGUUUUCUUGGAACCAGUGGUGCGAUUUAGGAUUUCUAGGAAAUGUACAUAUAUUGAAUGCGACUGGCUUUAACUUCAAAAUAAAAACACGCAAAGCUACUAAGCUGAAAAAAGUUCAGUAUUAUGUGCUAAAUGCAUGCUUUUCCAAAGGCAUAAAUAUUAAAGGCUGCAUAGAUUCCAUAGUUUGGUAAUGAAAUCUGUCAAGGUAUAAUAGUGAGAGCCCAUCUGUGACAUGCAAACAUGUAUACAUACAUAUGCCAACAAUGUCAUUUAUGCACUGAAAUAACAUUCUUCCGAAGUGAAUAGACUCGCAAGAACAUUAAUACACUUUGCAAGUGAACAGCACUGUAGAAAUUGCAUGUCGCACACGGCCUCUCAACAUUAUACCUUCACAGAUUUUAUUACAAACUGUGAAAUCUAUGUGGCUCCUUUUAAUAUUUAUGCCUUUGCAAAAGCAU